CAUGAGCGGCGUCUGAAUAGCUUCUUGGUAGGGUAACGGCCUAGCAAGGCUACGAUCAGUAGGGGGCGUGAGACCGUGACCCCCCACACGGGUACUGAGACACGGACCCGACUCCUACGGAAGUAGCAGUAAGGAAUAUUGGGCUAUGGAGCAACUCUGACCCAGCCUUCCCGCGUGAAGGAUUAAGGCCCUAUGGGUUGUAAACUUCUUUUGCUUGGGAAAAAUCUGGACAUUUAUGUGCAGUUGACGGUACCUUGCGAAUAAGCACCGGCUAACUCCGUGCCAGCAGCCGCGGUAAUACGGAGGGUGCAAGCGUUAUCCGGAAUCACUGGGUUUAAAGGGUGCGUAGGCGGUUUGAUAAGUCAGAGGUGAAAGCUAGCAGCUUAACUGUUAAAUUGCCUUUGAUACUGUCAGACUUGAAUCAGGUUGAGGUAGGCGAAUGUGACAUGUAGCGGUGAAAUGCAUAGAUAUGUCAUACAACACCAAUUGCGUAGGCAGCUUGCUGGGCGUGAAUUGACGCUGAGGCACGAAAGCGUGGGGAUCAAACAGGAUUAGAUACCCUGUAGUCCACGCCCUAAACGAUGUUAACUCAUAUUUAUUCUUCGGAGUGAGUGUCCAAGCGAAAGCGUUAAGUUAACCCCUGGGGAGUACGUUCGCAAGAAUGAAACUCGAAGGAUUGACGGGGCUCCGCACAUGCGGUGCAGCAUGUCGCUUAAUUCGAUGAUACGCGAGGAAACUUACCUAGGCUAGAAUGCGAGUGCCGAUCCUGAAGGGAAUUUUCCUUCGGG
rnacentral:rRNA from 1 species